rnacentral:lncRNA from 1 species
AGGGGUUCUAAUUUCUCUUGCAAUUCUCCAUCAGCAGCUUGAAGAAAUAGAUCAACUUUGUUCGGCUCCAAUGUCAAUUUUUCUACCUUCGAUAAUUGAGAGUACUGCCUCUCAAAUUCCCUUAGUAGCUCUGUUGCUUGCAAAUUCUUAUUAGGCCGUUCAAUCCAUCCCAGAAACAGCUUCUUAGUAACGCGAUCAGCAUCUUCCAAGAAAUAUUCGUCUUUCAAUGCAUGUGAAAAAUCCUCCCAUGA